AUAUGCGGCAUUGGGAAUUGCUACGAAACUAUUCUAAAAUAACGGAGCAAACACCAGAAGCCGUAGAAGACUUGCUUGAAACAGUCAAGGUGAGUCUUAAAGCGCUAGAGAAAUUAGGUCAAUCUAUCACCUCAAACAUAACACUCAUCGAGUUGCUUUCAUCGAAACUGCCUUUGUCCAUGGCAGCGCACGUUGCCUAAUAAAAGAAUACCAUCAUACACACAUUUGAUGGAUUCUAUUCAAACCCGGGUUAACGAUGAUGACCUCCGAUCGAAAUCGAAUAAAACCAAAAGGCCAUCCUAUCAAUCUCUCCAUCACCGACAACACUUACGGCGAGGGCAAACAUUCACCACAACAAACAGGACGUUGGUGUGUCCGACAUGCCAAGGACCCCACGAAAUCAAGCAUUGCAAGGCCUUCAAAGCCAAAUCGGUAAUCAAACGCUUUGAACUUGUAAAAAGGGCAUCACUCUGCACAAAUUGCAUAGGCAGAGCACACUCUCUUACCCAAUGUUCAGUUGCAUCGUGUCACAUAUGUGUACACCGACACCACACAUAUUUACAUCGGGAACAUACCAAUGUCAGUUCUCGUGUAUCAAGCGUAUGAUCAUCGAGCGAUCAGUCGCUAAGCGGUCAGUCGUCGAACGGUCAUCGUCGAACGACCGAUCCUCUCAGAGAGGAUCAUCACUUGGAUCGCCGACACCGCAUUCUUCACAUCGUUCGAAACGUACCAGAGAACCUUCGCGGAAAUCUGCUCCGUCACCUACAAGGAGUCGGAAAACUCCUCCUCAAUAUGAAUCUCAGUCAUCUCGGACCAAAUGCACCGAUCAAAACUCCUCGUCCAAACCCCAAUUGGGGAAAAAUUGACUAGCUAAACCGAAGACAAAAAAAAGGACCGAGUUGUUAAAUACCUCUCCAAACGUCACGCUGCAUCAUGAUCUGUUGGUCACAGCACAGAUCAAUAUUUUAAAUAAUAGAGCACAACCAAUCCGAGCCAGAGCUUUCCUAGAUACUGGGUCUAGUAUGAACUU